rnacentral:rRNA from 1 species
UACGUAGGGGGCAAGCGUUGUCCGGAUUUAUUGGGCGUAAAGAGCGUGUAGGCGGCCAGAUAAGUCCGCUGUGAAAUCUCGAGGCUCAACUUCGAGCUGUCGGUGGAAACUGUCUGGCUAGAGUCCGGAAGAGGAGAGUGGAAUUCCUGGUGUAGCGGUGAAAUGCGCAGAUAUUCGCAAGAACACCAGUGGCGAAGGCGGCUCACUGGCCCGGUACUGACGCUGAGGUGCGAAAGCAUGGGGAGCAAACAGG